CAGUCGCCGCGGUAAUACGUAGGGUGCGAGCGUUAAUCGGAAUUACUGGGCGUAAAGCGUGCGCAGGCGGUUGUGUAAGACAGGUGUGAAAUCCCCGGGCUUAACCUGGGAACUGCGCUUGUGACUGCACAGCUAGAGUAUGGCAGAGGGGGGUGGAAUUCCACGUGUAGCAGUGAAAUGCGUAGAGAUGUGGAGGAACACCGAUGGCGAAGGCAGCCCCCUGGGCCAAUACUGACGCUCAUGCACGGAAGCGUGGGGAGCAAACAGGAUUAGAUACCCCUGUAGUCCCUGUCUCUUAUAC
rnacentral:rRNA from 1 species